GAAACUCGCCUACAUGAAGCUGGAAUUGCUAGUAAUCACAGGUCAGCAUACUGUGGUGAAUACGUUCCCGGGCCUUGUACACACCGCCCGUCACACCAUGAGAGUUGAGAAUACCCGAAGCCAGUGACCCAAGCGAGAGCAGGGAGCUGUCGAAGGCAGGCCGGAUAACUGGGGCGAAGUCGUAACAAGGUACC
rnacentral:rRNA from 1 species